UACGUAGGGGGCUAGCGUUGUCCGGAAUCAUUGGGCGUAAAGAGCGUGUAGGCGGUCCGGUAAGUCCGCUGUGAAAGUCGGGGGCUCAACCCUCGAAUGCCGGUGGAUACUGUCGGGCUAGAGUGCGGAAGAGGCGAGUGGAAUUCCUGGUGUAGCGGUGAAAUGACGCAGAUAUCAGGAGGAACACCGGUGGCGAAGGCGGUUCUCUGGGAAUGUCCUGACGCUGAGGAGCGAAAGUGUGGGGAGCGAACAGG
rnacentral:rRNA from 1 species